GCCCCACCUGCCGUGAGCACCGGGAAACACGCGCGCCGACAGGUGGAGAGCGAGCUUCUGCCUUAAAGAUCACCCGAGAGCUGAGAAACGUGUUGCCAAAAGAAAUUACAUAAAAAUAUUAGCACUGGGGCUACGUCGGUCAAAGUUACUUCUGGUCAGCCGCGGGCCCCACGUCCCAGGGCUGAACAAGCCGGUCUGCGGCACCACGAGGCUCUCCCGUGACAGGGCCUCGCCCAAGGCUCCCCCAGCAGAUCUCCUGGGAUUCAGAACUACCAAAUCGCCGGCAGACACGUCUCCAUCAGAGGAAGCCUGUGACAACCGCCGGGAUAAAAUCAAAAGGGCAAUGGAACCCACCCAAGAGAAAUACGACCAGAGAGAUUUGCGUGCAAACAUUCACAACAGCAUUGUUCACACCAACCAGAAUGUCCACCAACCGCGGGGGCAUGAGCAGCAGGGAAAUGGCCAUGAAAAGAAAGAAACUGCUGAGACAUGGGCCUACGUGGAUGUACUUCAAAAACGCUGGGCCAGAUGAAAGAUGCCAGACAAGAAAAUCCCAUGAUUCCAUUUAUGUGACACUUCUUAAAAAGGUAAAUCUCUAGAGAGAAAGCAAAGUCAUGUAUGCCUGGGGGUGAGAAUGGGAUCAACUGCAAACAGGCACGAAGGAACUUUUUUGGGUGAUGAAAAAUAAAACUUUGGAUGCUGAACAUAUUUUAAAACUAGAUUGCAAUGAUAGUUGCAUAACUGUAUACAUUUAUUAAAAUCGUGGAACACUUA